rnacentral:rRNA from 1 species
GACGGGGGGUCCAAGCGUUGUUCGGAAUCAUUGGGCGUAAAGCGUGUGCAGGUGGUUUUGUAAGUUGGAUGUGAAAGCCCCGGGCUUAACCCGGGAAGUGCAUUCAAAACUGCAAAACUUGAGUAUGGAAGAGGGUCGUGGAAUUCCUGGUGUAGUGGUGAAAUGCGUAGAUAUCAGGAGGAACACCUGUGGUGUAGACAGCUUACUGGACCAUUUCUGACGCUGAGACACGAAAGCGUGGGCAGCAAACAGG